UACAGAGGUCCCGAGCGUUGUUCGGAUUCAUUGGGCGUAAAGGGUGCGUAGGCGGCGGGGCAAGUCUGAUGUGAAAUCCCGGGGCUCAACCCCGGAACUGCAUUGGAUACUGCCUUGCUUGAGUACUGGAGAGGGAACUGGAAUUUACGGUGUAGCAGUGAAAUGCGUAGAGAUCGUAAGGAAGGCCAGUGGCGAAGGCGAGUUCCUGGACAGUUACUGACGCUGAGGCACGAAAGCCAGGGGAGCAAACGGG
rnacentral:rRNA from 1 species